rnacentral:rRNA from 1 species
AGAGUUUGAUCCUGGCUCAGGACGAACGCUGGCGGCGUGCUUAACACAUGCAAGUCGAACGGUAAGGCCCUUCGGGGUACACGAGUGGCGAACGGGUGAGUAACACGUGGGUGAUCUGCCCUGCACUUCGGGAUAAGCCUGGGAAACUGGGUCUAAUACCGGAUAGGACCUCGGGAUGCAUGUCCUGUGGUGGAAAGCUUUUGCGGUGUGGGAUGGGCCCGCGGCCUAUCAGCUUGUUGGUGGGGUGAUGGCCUACCAAGGCGACGACGGGUAGCCGGCCUGAGAGGGUGACCGGCCACACUGGGACUGAGAUACGGCCCAGACUCCUACGGGAGGCAGCAGUGGGGAAUAUUGCACAAUGGGCGCAAGCCUGACGGAGCAACGCCGCGUGAGGGAUGAAGGCCUCUGGGCUGUAAACCUCUUUUCUCAAGGAAGAAGACCUGACGGUACUUGAGGAAUAAGCCACGGCUAAUUCCGUGCCAGCAGCCGCGGUAAUACGGGAGUGGCAAGCGUUAUCCGGAAUUAUUGGGCGUAAAGCGUCCGCAGGCGGCCUUGUAAGUCUGUCGUUAAAGCGUGGAGCUCAACUCCAUUUAGGCGAUGGAAACUACAAGGCUGGAGUGUGGUAGGGGCAGAGGGAAUUCCCGGUGUAGCGGUGAAAUGCGUAGAUAUCGGGAAGAACACCAGUGGCGAAGGCGCUCUGCUGGGCCAUAACUGACGCUCAUGGACGAAAGCUAGGGGAGCAAAUGGGAUUAGAUACCCCAGUAGUCCUAGCCGUAAACGAUGGAUACUCGAUGUUGGGCGUAUCGACCCGUCCAGUGUCUUAGCUAACGCGUUAAGUAUCCCGCCUGGGGAGUACGCUCGCAAGAGUGAAACUUAAAGGAAUUGACGG